rnacentral:rRNA from 1 species
CUGCGGAGGGAUCAUUACCGAGUUUAC